ensembl:lncRNA
AUAAAAAGAAAUAUAAAAGUCGGUGGCCUCCCAUGAGAACUUCAGAAAUUUUCAUUAGUGUUGGCUUAUGGAGAAGCCUUAAAAAGCAAUGUUAGAUCUAUCACUACCAUGAAAUUCAUUUGACAUUAUGAUUCUUAUGGAUUGUUUGAGCUAUCCUUUUUGAAAGAUCUCAUCAAAAGAAAAGCUUUUAGAGGCUUUACAUUUAGCAUAGCACAGUAUUUCCUUUGGAUAUCUAACAAAGAGCUUGACCAGAGUCCUAAAGUGUUUGAAUACUACAUAGUUUCCUUAGUGCCCAAAGCUAAAACCUCUUUUAUCUCUCCCAGUAAAGCUGCCACAGAAUUCAGCUUUCGAAGCAAGUGAUGUGCUCCUAGAAACCCUUUUUCAGUUUCAGAUGCAAGUCCCGUGCUCUAAAAUUCAGUUUUCCCAUAAAUAUGUGUUCCAAGAAAAUUGAUUGACCGGGGAAAGAAGAAAGUGUCCAGUUCUCUUAAAUACUAUCAAAAUGGGAAGUCCUACCCAGCGGAGUCUGUGUGGGUCUGGAGAGGGUUAAGGUCAGAAGAGCUAUGGUUUAGAAUUAGUGAUGGUUGCAAAAGGAGAACUAUAAAACUAUCUGGGAGGAAUUACAGCUUAAUCACAGGCCCUGCUGUGCAGCAGUGAUACAGGUUAAUUCAUUUCACAGCCACGAGGCUUCCCGUGAGAUCUUCUGAUGGCUCGCAGCUGUGCUGAACCACAGUACGUGCAGUACCAAAUCUCAUGCAGAGAAUGAUAUCAACUUAUGUGUCACUAGUCAUCACUGUGGGAACAUCAUCUUACCCUCCUUUAAGUCCAACUUCUUUCAGCAUGGUUACUCCACUCUACAGUAGGGGAGAUCAGAAUCAGACCCCACCUGACUGGACAUCCAAGAGUCACUAACAUACAUGAACAUGACAACAUGCAAGAAAAGUGAUUCGAGGAGGGACUCCUAGAGUAACCUCACAUUUUCUUUUGAAGUACAGAGGGACUGCCACAGUGCAGAAAAGUAGACAUU